rnacentral:rRNA from 1 species
GACGAACGCUGGCGGCGUGCUUAACACAUGCAAGUCGAACGGAAAGGCCCUGCCUUUGUGCGGUGCUCGAGGGGCGAACGGGUGAGCAACACGUGAGUAACCUGCCCUUGACUGUGGGAUAACUUCAGGACACUGGGGCUAAUACCGGCUAGGAGCUCCUGCUGCAUGGUGGGGGUUGGAAAGUUUCGGCGGUUGGGGAUGGACUCGCGGCUCAUCAGCUUGUUGGUGGGGUAGUGGCUUACCAAGGCAUUGACGGGUAGCCGGCCUGGGAGGGUGACCGGCACCGUCAGGCUGGAACUAAGACACAGCCCCGAAUGGUAGGCGAGGGUGGAGAGUAGAACACAAUAGGCGGGAGCCAGAUGUGAUACAGCCGCGUGGGGUAUGAGGGGCAGCGGGUUGUGAAGCGCAGCCGCCUGUGACGAAGCGUGAGUGACGGUAACGGGUGAAGAAGCACCGGCUAACUACGUG